rnacentral:rRNA from 1 species
GGCGAGCCUGAUGCAGCGACGCCGCGUGAGGGAUGACGGCCUUCGGGUUGUAAACCUCUUUCAGCAGGGAAGAAGCCACAAGUGACGGUACCUGCAGAAGAAGCGCCGGCUAACUACGUGCCAGCAGCCGCGGUAAUACGUAGGGCGCAAGCGUUGUCCGGAAUUAUUGGGCGUAAAGAGCUCGUAGGCGGUUUGUCGCGUCUGCUGUGAAAGCCCGGGGCUUAACCCCGGGUGUGCAGUGGGUACGGGCAGACUAGAGUGCAGUAGGGGAGACUGGAAUUCCUGGUGUAGCGGUGGAAUGCGCAGAUAUCAGGAGGAACACCGAUGGCGAAGGCAGGUCUCUGGGCUGUUACUGACGCUGAGGAGCGAAAGCAUGGGGAGCGAACAGGAUUAGAUACCCUGGUAGUCCAUGCCGUAAACGUUGGGCACUAGGUGUGGGGGACAUUCCACGUUUUCCGCGCCGUAGCUAACGCAUUAAGUGCCCCGCCUGGGGAGUACGGCCGCAAGGCUAAAACUCAAAGGAAUUGACGGGGGCCCGCACAAGCGGCGGAGCAUGCGGAUUAAUUCGAUGCAACGCGAAGAACCUUACCAAGGCUUGACAUAUACCGGAUCGUUCCAGAGAUGGUUCUUCCCCUUUGGGGUCGGUAUACAGGUGGUGCAUGGUUGUCGUCAGCUCGUGUCGUGAGAUGUUGGGUUAAGUCCCGCAACGAGCGCAACCCUCGUUCCAUGUUGCCAGCACGUGAUGGUGGGGACUCAUGGGAGACUGCCGGGGUCAACUCGGAGGAAGGUGGGGAUGACGUCAAAUCAUCAUGCCCCUUAUGUCUUGGGCUUCACGCAUGCUACAAUGGCCGGUACAAAGGGUUGCGAUACUGUGAGGUGGAGCUAAUCCCAAAAAGCCGGUCUCAGUUCGGAAUUGAGGUCUGCAACUCGACCUCAUGAAGUCGGAGUCGCUAGUAAUCGCAAAUCACCACGCUGCGGUGAAUACGUUCCCGGCUUGUACACCCCGCCCGUCAGUCACGAAGUCGGUACACCCGAAACCGGUGGCCAACCCUUGUGAGGACCCUCAAAGUGGACUGCCAUGG